rnacentral:sRNA from 1 species
UGGUAAAACUUAUUAAAACUCGGCGGAGA